rnacentral:lncRNA from 1 species
AUCACAUAGCGUUCAUUUCCCUAAGGGAGGAGAAAAAAUUAAAUUUGUAAGCUUAAGAUUCCAGCUGAAGUACUCAAGAAUCCUGUUUCUCUGACAGAGGAAAGGAACAACAACUUGACUGGACACAUCCUAACCCAACCAUACGCUGUGUUACUUCCUCCACUGCGCCACACACAGCUAUUAUUCUAAGCUCUCUUAUUCAAACCCUUAAGGAUUUGUAAGGAGAACACUAAGAAGAUGGGCAGAAAUCAAAGCUUCCUGGUGUGAGGUUGUGGUAGAAGAUUCCUGGUUGAUCAAUGUAUAGAAGAUGGAAAUGGAUUCCAGUUGUGGGAAGGAAGAACUCCUGACCAACUGGAAGAGAGUUCCUACCACAGAAAGAAAGGCAGCCAAGAACACAAUGUCCCGACCUAGCUCUUGGAAGUACUAAAUUUCAUCACGGAAACCACAGC